CCUGAAAACUGAUCGAAAUACUGAGAUGGUACGGGGCCAUAAAUUGGUCCAAAUUUCAUCAAAUCCGCAAAAUUCCUUUGUAUAGUGCCUUGAGUAUUCAAAUCAGGCGUUUUCUCUUUGGCAGAAACACAUAUUUCCGACUUUUCGCGAUUCACUUCGCUUGCUACACGAUUCGCUUCUAAUACGGGUUUCCUUGAGCCAGAAUCGCUUCCAGUCUGUAGAUUCGUAAGAGUUCUACUGCCCGAUUUUUCCAUAGUAUAUUAUCACAGGACACCAUUGUGUGUCGUUAUAGACCAUUUGUACUUUUACCAAAACCCGUCUUUGCCGACAGGGCAGUCCUUAAUGUGCAAAAUAAUCUCGAGACUUCGAGCGGAAACGCCACUAUAAAACGUUCGCUGUAUUGUAUUUCGUGCUCAUACUGGGAAAAUAUAAUUGGCUCAAGGACAAACCCCCUGGGUACUGGCAGCGUAGGUCUCAUUGAAAAUCACGUGUUUUUUACGACAUACAGAAAGAUAAACCACGCAUUAGCAUUUUCAAUAUAUUCAGACCUG